GUGCUUGCUCUGGAAGCACAUACACUAAAAUUCGAACAAUACAGAGAAGAUUAGCAUGGCCCCUGCACAAGGGUGACACACGAAUUGGUGAAAUGUUCCAUAUUAAA